rnacentral:rRNA from 1 species
UACGGAGGGUGCAAGCGUUAUCCGGAUUCACUGGGUUUAAAGGGUGCGUAGGCGGGCAGGUAAGUCAGUGGUGAAAUCUCCGAGCUUAACUCGGAAACUGCCGUUGAUACUAUCUGUCUUGAAUAUUGUGGAGGUAAGCGGAAUAUGUCAUGUAGCGGUGAAAUGCUUAGAUAUGACAUAGAACACCUAUUGCGAAGGCAGCUUACUACGCAAUCAUUGACGCUGAGGCACGAAAGCGUGAGGAUCAAAACAGG